rnacentral:rRNA from 1 species
UACGGGGGGGGGCAAGCGUUUGUUCGGAAUUACUGGGCGUAAAGGGCGCGUAGGCGGCCAUCUAAGUCAGACGUGAAAUCCCUCGGCUCAACCGAGGAACUGCGUCUGAUACUGGAAGGCUUGAAUCCGGGAGAGGGAUGUGGAAUUCCAGGUGUAGCGGUGAAAUGCGUAGAUAUCUGGAGGAACACCGGUGGCGAAGGCGGCAUCCUGGACCGGUAUUGACGCUGAGGCGCGAAAGCUAGGGGAGCAAACGGG